rnacentral:misc_RNA from 1 species
GGAAUACAUGUUUUCAUUCCAUAUGGAAGGGCCUGAGAAAAAGAUCAGCGUCAGUUCCUUGGCAGGUGCAGCGCCACAUUGAGAUUAGACUGCUGCAGUCGACUUAAUGAGCAAUUUUCAGAUGCAAGUCCAUCAAGGUGUUAACUGUUGUCAUACUAUUUUUUUGGUGUACAACUUCCGGGUUCCAUUACAGCUGUAACAUAGGAAGAGUUGUUGUGAAGUG